GUACCUCAAUGCAUACCUAUCCGAACAUCCCAUCUACAAUAUUUACCUACCCCAGGACGGUGCGAAGUAUGUCGAAAAUGUAUUUCUGUAUGCGAUUUAAACAGGUUCUGCGAGUUUAUAAGCUCUCCGUCUCAUCGGGCAGUCACUAUUAAUGUAUGCCUAUCCUAAAAGCCCGAACCAAAACAAUGAUCUGCCCAUAGUAAUAGUGCGUGGUUGUAUAAAUAAUGUACUUUAAACGGCGAGUGGGAGAGCUGGUAGCGGAAUGGUGUUGUGAAUAAAGGUAGCGAUGCAUAGAUAUACUGGUGUACAAAAUAAUAUCGAGCCCAUCUAUAGAACGGCAACAUGUGUUCCCCGGCCGAAUAUAAUGUACAUAUAUAUAUAAUGAAGCCGAACGGGAUAUUUUUAAUGAAAAGUCG